GGCCUGGUGGAGGUCCCAUGCCAAAUUUCUUUGUACCAAUGGUUCAGCAGGGCCAGCAAGGGCAAAGAUCCGGUGGCAGGCGUGCUGGUGCCAUUCAGCAAACCCAGCAGCCUGUUCCUUUGAUGCAGCAGCAGAUGCUACCAAGAGGACGUGUCUACCGUUAUCCUCCUGGACGUGGACUGCCUGAUCUUCCCAUGCCUGGUGUUGCUGGAGGCAUGUUCUCUGUUCCAUAUGAGAUGGGUGGAAUGCCACCGCGGGAUGCAGUCCACCCUCAACCAGUUCCUGUGGGUGCUUUGGCUUCUGCUCUUGCAAAUGCAACUCCAGACCAGCAGAGAACGAUGCUGGGGGAAAAUCUUUAUCCACUUGUGGAACAGCUAGAGCCUGAUAAUGCGGCCAAGGUAACAGGAAUGCUAUUGGAAAUGGACCAAACUGAGGUUCUUCACUUGCUGGAGUCGCCUGAAGCUCUGAAAGCCAAGGUGGCGGAGGCGAUGGAGGUUUUAAGAAGUGUCGCUCAGCAGACUGGCAAUGCAGCUGAUCAAUUGGCUUCACUAUCUCUGACUGACAACCUUGAUUCCUAAAUCUGAAUGUUGGCAACCCCUUCUGUUUUUCAUGAGCCGCGAACCUUUUUACUUGGUGCUACUUUUUAUUGACACACUUUGAGAUGCGAAGUUCAACUAUUUUUGUUCGAACCGAGUGAUGAUUUCUA
rnacentral:misc_RNA from 1 species